rnacentral:misc_RNA from 1 species
AACGCACCUUGCACUCGUUAGAGUAUGCCUGUUUGAGAAUCUAUAAUCCCUCUUUCUGUCUUUGGCCGAAAGGACUUGGGGCUUCCCUAUUUCAUUUAUUUUAUAUUUGAGCAGGGUGCCCUUAAAUGCAUGCCCCCGUCUUAAUAAUUCAUUAUUGGAUGGAGCUGGUGGGCAUCAGUAUGUGUAUGAAACUCUGUUUCUCAUUGUGCUGGUGUCUGCCAUCAGGGCCCGCCUCUCUAAUAUCUAAUAGGUAGUAGAGAGUCACUUUUAAACAUGGUCUCAAAUCAGGUAGGAAGACCCGCUGAACUUAA